rnacentral:rRNA from 1 species
CUGCAGCCCGAGUGGUGAUCGAUUUUAUUGAGCCUAAAGCGUCCGUAGCCGGACUAGUAAACCCUUGGGUAAAUUGGGCAGCUUAACUGUCCAAAUUCCGAGGGGACUGCUAGUCUUGGGACCGGGAGAGGUCAGAGGUACUCAAGGGGUAGGGGCUAAAUCCUGUAAUCCUUUGGGGACCACCAGUGGCGAAGGCGUCUAACUAGAACGGAUCCGACGGUAAGGGACGAAACCCUGGGGCGCGAACCGGAUUAGAUACCCGAGUAGUCC